AACCCUAAAAUAGACCUAGGCGUUUUCGAAACCCUAAAUAGAGAUGAGAAUGCCAUCUACGCAUUUUCGAAACCCUAAAUUAGAGAUGAGAUCACUGUGGCGGCAGCGAAGAAGAACAAUUGGAAGAAAGAAACAGAGUGAAGGGAAGAUGGCAAUGAUAGUCGGAGGACGAAGAAUGGGGAAGAGAUCAUAUGAAUCGAGCUCAAGCUCCUCGGAUUUGCAAGAGGGUCCUGAAAAAUCUCUCUGCCUUUUCAUGUCCGGUUGGGGCUGUCCUCAACUUGAGGGUCCGAUGUUGUACUCCGUCGAUUUAGACGGCAAGAGUUACAAGAGGAGAAAGUUAUGCCGAAGGUGCUGCAGGGAGAUCCUCGGAGAACCAGGGCCAGAGCCUGAGCUUGAUCUUGAUGAGCGUUUACGUUUACGUAGAAGUAGCGGUGGAUUCCGUGAACUGACUCCAUUGAUCUCAACUUCGAGUUGGCCUCCCGGUGGUUCCAUGGUCGUCGCUCUCGGCUCUGCUGUCUACGUCCUUGGUGGUUGCAUCUCAAACACUGCAACCGACAUAGGAUGGUUAUUAUCUCCCGAGGUCUCUUAUUUCGAGACUAAGAGUCCCGAGAAGGGCUGGAUUCCAGUUCCUGAUAUGCUGAAUUGCAGAGAUAAGGGGGCAGCAGUAGCUGUGGAAGGCAAGAUCUAUGUUUUUGGGGGAAAUGAAUUGGAUAAUGCCCGAGAGCCGUGGGCUGAGGUUUUUGACCCCAUAAAAAACAAAUGGAAGCCUCUGUGUCGUCCCCCUAAAUCUCUCCGCAAUAGCAAUUACAAUUAUACAGCAUUAAACGCUGUUGCUUAUGGAGAAGAAAAUAAGAAGAUUUUGAUUGGCUGCAUGUUUGUGUACGAUGUGAAUAGCAACACUUGGGAAAUACUCCCCGCUAAAGACGAAGGUUUAGCUUUCGUCAGACGUAGUUAUAAUAAUUUAGUUGGGGUUGGCAAUUCCCUGUAUUGGACAAGAUGGGGAAUCAUCCAUGUGUUCAAUAUGAAGACUCGGAGGUACUAUGUUUCAAAAAUUGAGGGUAUCGGGAAUCAGAUUUGCAAAGGUUAUGAUCCUCCACCUGAAAGAUUGCUUCAUUUGGGUGGAAAGGAGUUCUGUCUUCUCACCUUGGAUGAGAUCGAGGGACGACGGAAACGCACCAAAAUUCGUUGCUACAAGUUUAAAGUUUCUAAGCAGGGCACUAAAAAGGACCCAGGCAGCUUCAUGGCUUCCCUUGUAUGUCGUGAUCGUUAUAUAGUUGAUUGGCCUUUAGACUUCCGCAAUGACCAUGGCCUAGUGCUGUAAAGUUUGCUUUACAUCCUAUCUUAUCUUACUUAUUUGCAAUUUAAUUGUUGGCUAUAAUAACCAGAUUUGAAUUCUUCAUGAACUACAUUUGUACUGUGCUAUAUCUUACAUGGCUAUUACAGUUCUCUUGCUUCUCUGGAGUUUUAAGGGCUGGAAUGAAAAAUGAAGGGAUGUGAAGCCGGGUGGGAAAGUACUGGAGGAAGUGAUUACGUAGAAUUUGCAAUAGACAUGUGGAGAUCUUGAUACUCUAGAGGAGAGACCUGCGAGGUGCUCUAAUGUGGAGAUAUUAAUGGUUCUUUUUGUUGGUAGUCAUGCAGUAAAAUAGUGCUUUUGAGAUGAAUUUAUUUUGGUGUUGUGUAAGCUUGCAAGACUUGAUGAAUGCAUGAAGUGACACUAUUUAAGUUAUGCAGUUUGGGAAUGAAUUGGAGAAGUUAGCUAUAUUUAUUUUGGU